rnacentral:rRNA from 1 species
CCUACGGGCGGCAGCAGUGAGGAAUAUUGGUCAAUGGGCGGGAGCCUGAACCAGCCAAGUCGCGUGAAGGAAGAAGGUACUUAGUAUUGUAAACUUCUUUUGUCGGGGAACAAAGGCGGAGACGCGUCUCCGGAUGAGUGUACCCGAAGAAAAAGCAUCGGCUAACUCCGUGCCAGCAGCCGCGGUAAUACGGAGGAUGCGAGCGGCAUCCGGAUUUAUUGGGUUGAAAGGGUGCGUAGGCGGGAGAUCAAGGCAGCGGUAAAAUGUCGGGGCUCAACCCCGGCCGGCCGUUGAAACUGGUUUUCUAGAGUUGGAGAGAAGUAUGCGGAAUUCGGGGUGUAGCGGGGAAAUGCAGAGAUUACACGAAGAACUCAGAUUGCGAAGGCAGCAUACCGGCUCCAUACUGACGCUGAGGCACGAAAGCGUGGGGAUCGAACAGGAUUAGAUACCAGAGUAGUU